CACAAACCAAUCAAACGACUCAGCUCCACAACCUCCACCUGGAUGCCCGGUACCACGAAAACGCAAAACCUCCCCUCGCAAAGGUCCACCUGAAGCCCAGCUGAAGACCGACGUGGUGUAUGCAGCCAUUUCCCAAGAUGCACUGAAGCAACAGGGAACCACGAGAAAGCCUGACCAGUCUGCCACCAUCUACUCAUCGCUCAGAUUUAAUGACUGCACAGUGGAAAUGAAUUGAGGAUUGUAUUAUUUUUGUACCAUUCUGCCCAAUCUGUGAUGACUUCA